CGUAAGCGUCCCGCGCCCUCGGCCCUGGCUACUGUCCUCACCGGCACCCGGUCCGGGUAUUUCUUUCGGAUCUUCUCGCCCUCAGAGCGGCGCUUCUCGAACGGAUGCUCUUCUUUGUACACGAACUUCAUCCUCCCGGGAACCGGGCUGGACAGGGCUGGGCUGAGGGAACCCAGGGGGGCCGGGACGGGGGGCGGCGACGACGGCGGCGACGCGCGGGCGGAUUCAGCGGAGCGAUCCACGAAUUUGCGCCACUUCCCUAUUCACCAACCCCGCCCCCGACUAUCGGGGACUGCCCCCCCCGCUAAGAUACGCCACUACCUCAGCGGCGCUAACGCUGCUAGCGUAGCACCACCAACUGACCGGCCCCCUCACGCCAUUAGCGUAAUCGCUUUGGAAUCAAUUUGUGGGCUACGCAGGCGACGUAGCAAAGACGGUUGGCUUUUGCUCAUCGAAAAUUACUCUAAACCUAUUCCCCAACCGUCCCCUCAAGGAAGCUGGGGCUGAAGAGGAGUAAAAGAUGGUAAUCAUCAUACGAGACUUGGUUCUCCAAGUUCCUUUCGUUAACAACGUAGAGGAACAGCAGGGACAAUUACAAGGUUAGCUAUUCACGAACCGUGUUGCUACGCUGAAGGCGGCCGUUGACACCAAAACAAAGUAGUACCCAAGUGGCGGAGAUGAUCUCCAGAAAUAAGAAGUCAAAAAGAAAACAGAUGUUUGGAGAGAUCUACAGAACGCUUAAGUGCCAAAAUGAGUAGACCAAUAGGGACUGGAGAGGAGGUUGGAAAGGUAGGGACUACGCCAGCGCGGAGGAACACUGCGGGACUUGAGUUAAAUCAUGUGAUCUCAAAGAGGGCGGAGCGUCACGUGGCGGGUGCGCGAAGUAGGGCCGGCUUGGGAGGGCGCCGGGGAGGCGGGGCCGGCUGGGCGACAGCUGGGAGGGGGACCGACGCCUUCCCGGACAGCGGAGGUCGGGGCGCCAGCCACCUGGGGGCAGCGCCCGCUUAACCUGUCCACGUCAGUGCCCCGGACGAAGCCCGGUUUCUCCAGCUCUACGCCCUUUGGCCGUCCAGGUUUCUCCUUUCGUGCUUCCAUAGCCGGUUUCUCCUUUCGUGCUUCCAUAGCCUGCUUCUCCGAAGGUGUCCUUCCACUCCCCACCAGCGCGCCCAUCCUGUCACUCGGCCCUUCCCGCCAAAGCAUCUGGUGUCAGCAUUAUUGUAUCCCAGGCAUCUGGUGUCCGCAUUAUUCUAUCCCUAUACUCAACGCCACCUUUCCCCCUGCCCCUUGAGUCCAACAGCAGUCUCUUCCCCCUCUGCCUGUGGGACAGGGUGCAUGUGAACAAAGUCCCCUCUCUUCACUUCCCAAAACCCCAGAGAAGGACCUAAGGCCGCUUUGGUUUCAAAGUUAUAAUGCAUGGUUUAAAAGAGAGAAAAGGAAAAAAGACACAAAGCUGGUUACAGGUCUGAGGGAGUCUAAGGAGAGAAAAAUAGAGGGAGAGUAAAGGGGGGACAAAUUUAGGGAAAAUCCAGUGGCCCAAAAUCCCAGUAUCCCACCCACAGCCCAGCCCUUGGAGCAGGAGUGAAGAAUUAGAUCAGUUUUGUACAAGAGUUUUUUA
rnacentral:lncRNA from 1 species